AGUGAACGCUGGCGGUAGGCCUAACACAUGCAAGUCGAACGGCAGCACAGUAAGAGCUUGCUCUUACGGGUGGCGAGUGGCGGACGGGUGAGGAAUACAUCGGAAUCUACUUUUUCGUGGGGGAUAACGUAGGGAAACUUACGCUAAUACCGCAUACGACCUACGGGUGAAAGCAGGGGAUCUUCGGACCUUGCGCGAUUGAAUGAGCCGAUGUCGGAUUAGUUAGUUGGCGGGGUAAAGGCCCACCAAGGAGACGAUCCGUAGCUGGUGUGAGUGGAUGGUGAGCCACACUGGAACUUAGACACGGUCCAGACUCCUGCGGGAGGCAGCAGUGGGGAAUAUUGGACAAUGGGCGGAAGCAUGAUCCAGCCAUACCGCGUGGGUGAAGAAGGCCUUCGGGUUGUAAAGCCCUUUUGUUGGGAAAGAAAAGCAGCAGGUUAAUACCCCGCUGUUCUGACGGUACCCAAAGAAUAAGCACCGGCUAACUUCGUG
rnacentral:rRNA from 1 species